UGGGGAAUAUUGGACAAUGGGCGCAAGCCUGAUCCAGCCAUGCCGCGUGAGUGAUGAAGGCCCUAGGGUUGUAAAGCUCUUUCACCGGUGAAGAUAAUGACGGUAACCGGAGAAGAAGCCCCGGCUAACUUCGUGCCAGCAGCCGCGGUAAUACGAAGGGGGCUAGCGUUGUUCGGAUUUACUGGGCGUAAAGCGCACGUAGGCGGACUUUUAAGUCAGGGGUGAAAUCCCGGGGCUCAACCCCGGAACUGCCUUUGAUACUGGAAGUCUUGAGUACGGUAGAGGGUGGUGGAAUUUCCUGUGUAGCGGUGAAAUGCGUAGAUAUAGGAAGGAACACAAGGGGCGAAGGCGACCACCUGGACUGAUACUGACACUGAGGUGCGAAAGCGUGGGGAGCAAACAGG
rnacentral:rRNA from 1 species